GGAUUAUUCUCGUAGGUGACCUGCGGAAGGAUCAUUAUCGAUAAACCGAGGCGCGAGGGCUGUCGCUGACCUUUCCCGGUCGUGCACGCCCGAGCCCUCUCACACAAUCCAUCUCACCCUUUGUGCAUCACCGCGUGGGUCCCCCUUUGCCGGAGGGCCCGCGUCUUUACACAAAACUCGAUACAGUGUAGAAUGUUUAUUUUCGCCGUCGCACGCGAUCAAUAAUACAACUUUCAACAACGGAUCUCUUGGCUCUCGCAUCGAUGAAGAACGCAGCGAAAUGCGAUACGUAAUGUGAAUUGCAGAAUUCAGUGAAUCAUCGAAUCUUUGAACGCACCUUGCGCCCCUUGGCAUUCCGAGGGGCACACCCGUUUGAGUGUCGUGAAAUCUUCAAAAACCCUCUCUUUUGAGGUUUUUUGGACUUGGAGGUUCAAUGCUCGCUUUCUUCUUUUAGGAAGCGAGCUCCUCUCAAAUGAAUCAGUGGGGUCUGCUUUGUCGGUCCUUGACGUGAUAAGAUGUUUCUACGUUUUGGAUUCGACAUCGUCCCGCUCCCAAUCGUCCCACGGACAAAAGGAUGGUGCUCCGGUCGCGGGUCAUCGCUCGCGGCUGGGACCCACGAAAAAAACCUUGACCUCAAAUCGGGUGAGACUACCCGCUGAAACUUAAGCAUAUCAU
rnacentral:rRNA from 1 species